CCUACGGGAGGCAGCAGUGAGGAAUAUUGGUCAAUGGACGCAAGUCUGAACCAGCCAAGCAGCGUGAAGGAUGACUGCCCUAUGAGUUGUAAACUGCUUUUGUAAGGGGAUAAACGCAGAUACGCGUACCUUUUUGUAUGUAUUUUACGAAUAAGGAUCGGCUAACUCCGUGCCAGCAGCCGCUGUAAUACGGAAGAUUCGAGCGUUAUCCGGAUUUAUUGGGUUUAAAGGGUGCGUAGGCGGUUCGUUAAGGUAGAGGUGAAAUUCUGUGGCUCAACUUCGAGAGUGCGGCGGGAACUUUACGGCUAGAGAGUAGUGAAGGUAGGCGGAAUGCAUGGUGUAGCGGUGAAAUGCUUAGAGAUCACACAGAACACCGAUUGCGAAGGCAGCUUACCAAGGUACUUCUGACGUUGAGGCACGAAAGCGUGGGGAGCGAACAGGAUUAGAUACCCCAGUAGUC
rnacentral:rRNA from 1 species